AUUGAACGCUGGCGGCAGGCCUAACACAUGCAAGUCGACCGAGCGGCGGACGGGUGAGUAAUGUCUGGGAAACUGCCUGAUGGAGGGGGAUAACUACUGGAACCGGUAGCUACUACCGCAUACCAUCAGAUGUGCCCAGAUGGGAUUAGCUAGUAGGUGGGGUAACGGCUCACCUAGGCGACGAUCCCUAGCUGGUCUGAGAGGAUGACCAGCUACACUGGAACUGAGACACGGUCCAGACUCCUACGGUAGGCAGCAGUGGGGAAUAUUGCACAAUGGGGGCAAGCCUGAUGCAGCCAUGCCGCGUGUGUGAAGAAGGCCUUCGGGUUGUAAAGCACUUUCAGCGGGGAGGCGUUACUCGCAGAAGAAGCACCGGCUAACUCCGUGCCAGCAGCCGCGGUAAUAC
rnacentral:rRNA from 1 species